rnacentral:rRNA from 1 species
UCCUACGGGAGGCAGCAGUGAGGAAUCUUGCGCAAUGGAGGAAACUCUGACGCAGCCAGCCGCGUGCCGGAAGACGGCCCUACGGGUUGUAAACGGCUUUUGUUUGGGAAGAACUGGUGGGUUUCGACCUACCUUGACGGUACUGAAUGAAUAAGCACCGGCUAACUCCGUGCCAGCAGCCGCGGUAAUACGGAGGGUGCAAGCGUUGUCCGGAAUCAUUGGGUGUAAAGGGUGCGUAGGCGGGCACUUAAGUCUGGGGUGAAAUCUUGCCGCUUAACGGUAAAAUUGCCUUGGAUACUGAGUGUCUUGAAUCUGACAGAGGUUGGUGGAAUUCGUAGUGUAGCGGUGAAAUGCAUAGAUAUUACGAAGAACAUCGGUGGCGAAGGCGGCCGGCUGGGUCAGUAUUGACGCUGAGGCACGAGAGCGUGGGGAGCGAACAGGAUUAGAUACCCUGGUAGUCCACGCUGUAAACGAUGUAUGCUAGUUGUUGGGCCUUUGGGUUCAGUGACGCAGUUAACGCAGUAAGC